ACGAACGCUGGCGGCGUGCCUAAUACAUGCAAGUCGAGCGGACGAAUCGAAAGCUUGCUUUUGAUUCGUUAGCGGCGGACGGGUGAGUAACACGUGGGCAACCUGCCCUGUAGACGGGGAUAACACCGAGAAAUCGGUGCUAAUACCGGAUAACAUGAAAUGUCGCAUGACGUUUCGUUGAAAGACGGCGCAAGCUGUCGCUACAGGAUGGGCCCGCGGCGCAUUAGCUAGUUGGUGAGGUAACGGCUCACCAAGGCGACGAUGCGUAGCCGACCUGAGAGGGUGAUCGGCCACACUGGGACUGAGACACGGCCCAGACUCCUACGGGAGGCAGCAGUAGGGAAUCUUCCGCAAUGGACGAAAGUCUGACGGAGCAACGCCGCGUGAGCGAAGAAGGCCUUCGGGUCGUAAAGCUCUGUUGUUAGGGAAGAACAAGUAACGCAGUAACUGGCGUUACCGUGACGGUACCUAACGAGAAAGCCACGGCUAACUACGUG
rnacentral:rRNA from 1 species